GUUUUAUUAUUUUUUUUAAUGCUCAAAUCUGUGUGUUAUUCCUUAGUUCUAUAAUUCCUGAAUGUGAGUGGCUUUGUUCUAUAUGUAUUUUGGUUUUUCUUCAUUGGAAGUUGACGGUACCAUUUAAUGAUACUUUUACUGUUCAAAUCUAUGUGUUCUAAUUGUAUAUUCAAAAAUUUCCAAGCUGUAUAAGAAUGGAAUUGCAGCUAGUUCUAUAUGCAAAAUUUCAAAUCUGUGUGUUAUAAGCCUUAUAGGAAUGGAAUUGUAACUGAUACUUCUAACAUAGAAUUUUCUCUGAUAAUUCCUACUUCAAAGAAACGAUAUUAGGAAAAUUUAGGUUGCAGUUUCUAG
rnacentral:misc_RNA from 1 species